GAAACACUCCACUAUCCACCACAGAGGCAGAGAAAGACCUGGGGGUGUAUGUUAUUAGGCUACCAGUGAAAGGAUAUCCAGCACACCAAUACCACAUGGGAAACACUCCACUAUCCACCACAGAGGCAGAGAAAGACAUGGGAGUGUAUGUUACCAGGCUACCAAUGAAUGCAAAAUCCGUGCCAAUCGCAGUGGAUGGGUCAAUGUUAUGCCAUCAACAACCACAAGGACUAACCCGACCUUACCCAAGCCAUCAGUGUAAGAGCUCUGUAGAAUUUAACCCCUUCAACACGAGGACGCGUAUACUGCAUCCUUGCGUGCCUCGUACCACAUCCGAGGACGUGCAUACUGCGUCCUAGCUCGCUUUAGCCAAUAAACGAGUUAUUUUAUUUCUAUAUGCGUACAUCUCAAAAUUAUCAAUUAAUUUGUUUCUUUAUGUGCCCCAUUUAAUUCUGCAUGUUUUCAUAUGUAAUACAUGAUGAUUAUGUUGAGUUUAUGGCUGAAAACUUGUUAUAUUUAAUAGCGACAUUUGAAAUUUGGUGCGCGCAGCAAUCCCGGAUACGGUGCAGGGCGCUGUUUUGGCCCGGCCGUAGUGAAGGGGUUAACUGUAAGCUCCUCACAAUAUUACCACAACUCACACAUUACCAAGCCUAAUACUACAUACACCUUUCUUUUGGACACUCUUUACUUUUGUCUAUUAAGGGAGCAGUGAGUAGCAGGCUUUUUUUUUCUCUGCACUCUUUUUGUUGCCCUUGAGCCGUCUCCUUUGCUGUAAAAAAAUAAAAAAAUAAAUAGAAGACUGAUUGCCAUGUUGGUUACUCACAGUGCCGGCAGUGUCCAGAAUCUCCAGCAUGCACUGUUGUCCGUCCACCUCCACCU